GACUUGGGGCUCACGUAGGCAUAGGAGAAUGAAACUUCUGUACAUUUUAAUCUGAAUAAUUCUUCAGGAUUGAAAAUUAUUUGGUUGUGGCUUGGUUGGACUGUGCUGGGAUCUCGCUGCCUCUACGUUUCCGGAGUCUCUAGUGAAGAGAUGAUUUUUUUUUUUUUUGAAACUGGGUUUAUGUGCGUCCCCCUCACCCCUCCUCUCUUUUUUCUUUCUGCCUCUGUCGUCUCUCUCGCUGGCUUUUUUUUUUUUUUUUUAAUGAGGAACCGUUCCAUGAACAUUUUGCACAGAGCACAGAAUUGCUUCUAAAGUCAGCCCGGCGCAGUUGCAAUAGACAGCAAAAAGGUAAACGUUUGCCUGAAAUCCGCACGCCAGCUUCACCACCCCGCCCGAUGGUUAAACAGUGACCAAGGGGAGAUAGAGAGGUUAUCACCAUGCAAACUGUGCCAAGGUUCUGUAACAAUCAAGAACACGUGGACACCUACCUGUGGGAGGAGGCUUGGGGGAAACACUGUUUCUGGUUGCUGCUGAAGCCAGCAUUCUGGAGAUGGACAGCUGCUCAAGGAAAUGAAGGGAGAUUUUGUAAAUUGCAGAUUCUAAGCAGGAAGACUCAACCAAGAAUACAUGCUUAGAAGAAAACUGUUUCAAGCAUCCCCAUUUACGUGGAUGUAUCUGCACAGUCCUCCCUUUCCACAAACACCAACACUGAAGCCCCGAUGCUGGGAGGCUCUGAAUUAAGACCCUGGAGAAGAACUGCCAAGGGGAUUUACUUUUAAGGAAGCCCAUGAUCCUAUAAGAGUGAUCAUCAGUGUAAAUCAAAUCAAACGACUUGGAUGCUCUCUCCGGCUCUCAAUCUCCAACACCCAGAAGAGGUGUCAUAUGGCGGUUUUUUCCUCUGCACCACAUCUUCCAACUAUGAUGUCUAUCAUCAAAAAGUCCAGAGCAAUGAGACAGAUACCACCAUAACUCCCAGCAUAAAGAGAAAGCAUGACCCUAGACGUGGAGUGAAUUGAGUGUGCAGGUUCCUACGAGUUCACUGCGGUUCCAGUGGGGAUUGGGCAGGCUCCAAGCACUAAAUAACCCUAAUGAUAUCAGGACUGGUCCUGUUUGCUCCAUCUUAACAUUGUUGGUUAACAGUGGACUCUGACUUUCAUGAGGAUGACUGGACAUCCACUGGGACUCCAGGAGGCUGCCCUUCGCUGCUUUGACUUUGUUCUGUCAGACUUGAUAAGAUUUUGACUUCCUGUUAAAACCUGCCAUCGGGUGUUCAGCAGGAGAGUGAGAGAGUGUCAAGCACACUGUACCAGCAUCAGAGGCUGAGCCUGCCAGCAGAGCUGACUCUGAUGGACACGUGCUUCCUAGGGCUCCUGAUGCAGCUGCUAUCUGCAGACCUCCUGGACUGCCCGGGGAAGGGAGUGGGAGCUCCUGCCACAGAUGGGUGGAACAUCGACAAGAAGGGCUAAAGGUGGCCAAAAAUAACAGUGCCUUCCAGAUGAGGUGACCUCAGAGCCAAGAGCAUCAUGGGGUAGAGUAUCUUGUUCCCAGUUUUAUGACCUAAAAAGUACACAGAAGAUGCAAAGAUACUACAGAGAGAAGGAACAAAGUCUGCAGAGAACAGGGAAAGGCGAUUACGUAUCAUAUUUUUUUAAAUAGGAUUUUGUUGUACAUGACCACAAAAGAAAACACAGCCUUUUAUACAUGUUUGAAGAGAGAGCUAGAGCUAUAGAUAGAAAAAUGAUAGAUAGAUUAAUAGAUAGAUGGUCAAUAGAUAGAUGAUCAAUAGAUAGAUAAGUAGGUAGGUAGAUAGAUGAUAGACAGAACCAAACACAAUAGAAGACCAAAAGGAGAAAAAGAUAGAGAUGAUAUUGCCUUCCUUUGUUUGCUAUUGAAACAAACUUAAUAAAUCCUCAUUGAGACUCAA
rnacentral:lncRNA from 1 species